GCGCGGUUGGCGUAGUGGUCAACGCGUACACACCGAAAGUGUAAGAACCCGGGUUCGAAUCCCGGACCACGCA
rnacentral:tRNA from 2 species